UAAAAACUCUAGAAGAGAACACAGACAGUAACUUUUUUGACACGAACUGUAGCAACUUUUUUUGUAGGUAGGUCUCCUGAGGCAAGGGAAACAAAAGAAAAAUAAACUAUUGUGACUACAUCAAAAUAGAAAGAUUCUGCCCAAUGAAGGCAACAACCAACAAAACAAAAAGCAACUCAUGGAAUGUGG